CCUACGGGGGGCUGCAGUGGGGAAUAUUGGACAAUGGGCGAAAGCCUGAUCCAGCCAUGCCGCGUGUGUGAAGAAGGCCUUCGGGUUGUAAAGCACUUUCAGUGGGGAAGAAAGCCUUGGGGCUAAUACCCUCGAGGAAGGACAUCACCCACAGAAGAAGCACCGGCUAACUUCGUGCCAGCAGCCGCGGUAAUACGGAGGGUGCGAGCGUUAAUCGGAAUUACUGGGCGUAAAGCGCGCGUAGGCGGUCUGAUAAGCCGGUUGUGAAAGCCCCGGGCUCAACCUGGGAACGGCAUCCGGAACGGUCAGGCUAGAGUGCAGGAGAGGAAGGUAGAAUUCCCGGUGUAGCGGUGAAAUGCGUAGAGAUCGGGAGGAAUACCAGUGGCGAAGGCGGCCUUCUGGACUGACACUGACGCUGAGGUGCGAAAGCGUGGGUAGCAAACAGGAUUAGAUACCCCAGUAGUC
rnacentral:rRNA from 1 species